UAGCCACAUGUGAAAUCCAUGCUUGC
rnacentral:piRNA from 1 species